UCCUUACCAUAGGGUAGCCAAUGGUUUUCACUACUUAGGGAAAUCACUUUUAGAGAAGGGUGCCUACCUUGAGCAUCUGAUUUUUUAUCUGCAAGAGGAAGGACAAAGGGUGGAGGCUAGACCAUGUCUUUGUAAACAUGUUUUCUUCAAAUUCAUCAAGCUAACCUCUGGUCUUUUGAUCCAAUCAUCUCCCUUCUUUCUUUUGUCCCUAGUUU
rnacentral:lncRNA from 1 species